rfam:Paenibacillus bovis strain BD3526, complete genome.
GGGGGCGUUUUUUGGAUUCGACGGGGGUAGGUCGGGCAUGAGUAGCGGGUAGUGGGGACGCGUCCGCUUUAUCAACGCUAAAGCCUAUUAAACGGCAAACAACAAACUAACUACGCUUUCGCAGCCUAAGAAACUGUGAAACGUGCUCUCGCCUCGCAUCGCCCAUGUGCCAGGAUGAGGGCCCAACUCUUAGUGGGCUACGCUGUCACAUCUCCGCCUGGGGUGUGCUGAAGAAGAUAAUCAGGCUGACCCAACGUAGAGCCGGUUACAGGGCGCUACUCGGGUGACAUUAAAUCUGUGACUACACCCGUAGAAGCUUGUGUUGCGUUAUCUUCGGACAGGGGUUCGACUCCCCUCGCCUCCAUAU